GUCGCAAGGCUGAAACUCAAAGGAAUUGACGGGGGCCCGCACAAGCGGUGGAACAUGUGGUUUAAUUCGAUGCAACGCGAAGAACCUUACCUGGGUUUGAAAUCAUAAUGACCGUCUGUGAAAGCAGACUUUCCUUUCGAGGACAUUAUGACAGGUGGUGCAUGGCUGUCGUCAGCUCGUGUCGCGAGAUGUUGGGUUAAGUCCCGCAACGAGCGCAACCCCUUUUCUUAGUUGCCAACAGGUAAUGCUGGGGACUCUAAGGAUACUGCCCCGGUUAACGGGGAGGAAGGUGGGGAUGACGUCAAGUCAGUAUGUCCCUUAUAUCCAGGGCUACACACGUGUUACAAUGGCCAGUACAAUGAGUCGCGAUCCCGCGAGGGUUAGCCAAUCUCAAAAAACUGGUCUCAGUUCAGAUUGCAGUCUGCAACUCGACUGCAUGAAGUCGGAAUCGCUAGUAAUCGUAGAUCAGCAUGCUACGGUGAAUACGUUCCCGGGCCUUGUACACACCGCCCGUCCCGCCAUGGAAG
rnacentral:rRNA from 1 species